rnacentral:rRNA from 1 species
GGGCUUGACAUCCCACGAACCUGCCCGAAAAGGUGGGGUGCCCGCAAGGGAGCGUGGAGACAGGUGGUGCAUGGCUGUCGUCAGCUCGUGUCGUGAGAUGCUGGGUUAAGUCCCGCAACGAGCGCAACCCUCACCCCUAGUUGCCACCGCGUUAAGCCGAGCACUCAAGGGGAACUGCCAGCGUCAAGCUGGGGGAAGGCGGGGAUGACGUCAAGUCAUCAUGCCCCUUACGCCCUGGGCUACACACGUGCUACAAUGGCCAGUACAAAGGGACGCGAGACUGCGAAGUGGAGCUAAUCCUAAAAAGCUGGUCUAAGUUCAGAUUGCAGUCUGCAACUCGACUGCAUGAAGGAGGAAUCGCUAGUAAUCGCGUAUCAGCCCGGCGCGGUGAAUACGUUCCCGGGCCUUGUACACACCGCCCGUCACACCACGAAAGCUGUCUGUACUCGAAGUCGCUGAG